CGUUAGCGGCGGACGGGUGAGUAACACGUGGGUGACCUACCUAUAAGACUGGGAUAACUCCGGGAAACCGGGGCUAAUACCGGAUAAUACAUGAAACCGCAUGGUUUCAUGAUGAAAGACGGUUUUGCUGUCACUUAUAGAUGGACCCGCGGCGUAUUAGCUAGUUGGUAAGGUAACGGCUUACCAAGGCAACGAUACGUAGCCGACCUGAGAGGGUGAUCGGCCACACUGGAACUGAGACACGGUCCAGACUCCUACGGGAGGCAGCAGCG
rnacentral:rRNA from 1 species